UUAACGAGGAUCAAUUGGAGGGCAAGUCUGGUGCCAGCAGCCGCGGUAACUCCAGCUCCAAUAGCGUAUAUUAAAGUUGUUGCGGUUAAAAAGCUCGUAGUUGAAUCUGUGUCCCACACUGUCGGUUCACCGCUCGCGGUGUUCAACUGGCAUGUCUGUGGGACGUCCUACCGGUGGGCGCAGCCCGUCAAACGGCGGCCCAACUCAAAAUCCUACCACGGUGCUCUUCACCGAGUGCCGAGGUGGGCCGGUACGUUUACUUUGAACAAAUUAGAGUGCUUAAAGCAGGCUCAUUCGCCUGAAUAUUCUGUGCAUGGAAUAAUGGAAUAGGACCUCGGUUCUAUUUUGUUGGUUUUCGGAACUCCGAGGUAAUGAUUAAUAGGGACAACUGGGGGCAUUCGUAUUGCGACGUUAGAGGUGAAAUUCUUGGAUCGUCGCAAGACGGACAGAAGCGAAAGAAAUGUGUUUUCAUCAAUCAAGAACGAAAGUUAGAGGUUCGAAGGCGAUCAGAUACCGCCCUAGUUCUAACCAUAAACGAUGCCAGCUAGCGAUCCGCCGAAGUUCCUCCGAUGACUCGGCGGGCAGCUUCCGGGAAACCAAAGCUUUUGGGUUCCGGGGGAAGUAUGGUUGCAAAGCUGAAACUUAAAGGAAUUGACGGAAGGGCACCACCAGGAGUGGAGCCUGCGGCUUAAUUUGACUCAACACGGGAAAC
rnacentral:rRNA from 1 species